rnacentral:rRNA from 1 species
UACGUAGGUGGCAAGCGUUGUCCGGAAUUACUGGGCGUAAAGCGUGCGCAGGCGGUCGUUCAAGUCGCGUGUGAAAGCCCCCGGCUCAACUGGGGAGGGUCACGCGAUACUGAUCGACUCGAAGGCAGGAGAGGGUAGUGGAAUUCCCGGUGUAGUGGUGAAAUGCGUAGAUAUCGGGAGGAACACCAGUGGCGAAGGCGACUACCUGGCCUGUUUCUUGACGCUGAGGCGCGAAAGCUAGGGGAGCAAACGGG